UCCGGUUUAUUCCCACCCCUUGACCACUCUAUGACCACCAUUGACCACCCAACAACCAGCCUAACGCCGCCGUCCGAAAUCGCCUCACGGCGGCGGCUGGGCACCAAACCCCCAACUUUACAACACCAGACCACCAAAACCUCAUCUUCCCCAUCCUGCAAUCAGCUUCCUUCUAAUAACCCUCCUCCGUCUCGAAUAUUCAAAAGAAGAGUCUUCUGAACCACCGUCUCCGGCGACCCAGUCCCAAACAAUCCCAAGAUUACACCGUAGGACCACCAAGACCUACCCUUCCCCGUCC
rnacentral:lncRNA from 1 species